rnacentral:rRNA from 1 species
UACGGAGGGUGCAAGCGUUAUCCGGAUUCACUGGGUUUAAAGGGUGCGUAGGUGGGCAGGUAAGUCAGUGGUGAAAUCUCCGGGCUUAACCCGGAAACUGCCGUUGAUACUAUUUGUCUUGAAUAUUGUGGAGGUAAGCGGAAUAUGUCAUGUAGCGGUGAAAUGCUUAGAUAUGACACAGAACACCGAUUGCGAAGGCAGCUAACUAAGCCAUAACUGACGCUGAUGCACGAAAGCGUGGGGAGCAAACAGG